UAAAUCCCAAAUUUUGCGCUGUUAAAAACCCUGAUUCUAUUCCCUUUGUUUUCACUGAUCAAAAUCCCCUUCUUAUAAAUUUUCUCUCUUGAUGGAAGAGACGCGAUGUGCAAUUUGACUGUUCCAAUUUCCUUUUCAACGUUCAAUUUAAACCCUAGCCUUUUCCUUUUGCUUCUAUGGGGGGGGGGGAAGGAAUCAUGUCUUUCGAUCUCAUAUGCUGAAGUCGUCCUGCAGCUGCUUUGGAUCCUCCCAAGAUCUGUACGGCUGAGGACCAAAAGAAGAAAGAUGAUGAGGAUUUGGUGAGUGGCUGUUCGGGAUUUCGCCCUCGCUGGUUCUCUACACCGCAAAUCCGAAUCAUUUCAACUUUUACCGUAUUCCCCGAAGCUUUUGAAUGAUGCUAUUCACGUCUUUGCUCACCUUUGCGAUUGCUCUUCUCAGCCUCUUCUCACAAUCCCUGAAGAUACAAGCUAGCACAGAUGAGCAAAUUUCUCAACUUAGAGCGGAGGCAACAAUGAGGGAGGCAGAGGCGGAA